GUGGGGAAUAUUGGACAAUGGGCGAAAGCCUGAUCCAGCCAUGCCGCGUGUGUGAAGAAGGUCUUCGGAUUGUAAAGCACUUUAAGUUGGGAGGAAGGGCAUUAACCUAAUACGUUAGUGUUUUGACGUUACCGACAGAAUAAGCAUCGGCUAACUUCGUGCCAGCAGCCGCGGUAAUACGAAGGGUGCAAGCGUUAAUCGGAAUUACUGGGCGUAAAGCGCGCGUAGGUGGUUCGUUAAGUUGGAUGUGAAAGCCCCGGGCUCAACCUGGGAACUGCAUCCAAAACUGGCGAGCUAGAGUACGGUAGAGGGUGGUGGAAUUUCCUGUGUAGCGGUGAAAUGCGUAGAUAUAGGAAGGAACACCAGUGGCGAAGGCGACCACCUGGACUGAUACUGACACUGAGGUGCGAAAGCGUGGGGAGCAAACAGGAUUAGAAACCCUAGUAGUCC
rnacentral:rRNA from 1 species